UACGUAGGUGGCAAGCGUUGUCCGGAUUUACUGGGCGUAAAGAGCGCGCAGGCGGCUGGUCAAGUCCGAUGUGAAAUCUCCCGGCUCAACUGGGAAACUGCAUCGGAAACUGAUCGGCUUGAAGGUGGGAGAGGGUAGUGGAAUUCCCGGUGUAGUGGUGAAAUGCGUAGAUAUCGGGAGGAACACCAGUGGCGAAAGCGACUUCCUGGACCAAUACUGACGCUCAUGUGCGAAAGCGUGGGGAGCAAACAGG
rnacentral:rRNA from 1 species